rnacentral:piRNA from 2 species
UGAGAGUAGUGGACAGAAGGGAUUUCUGA